rnacentral:tRNA from 1 species
GGCCAGGUAGCCAAGUGGUAAGGCGACAGUCUGCAAAACUGUCAUACGCGGGUUCGAUUCCCGCCCUGGCCU